ensembl:lncRNA
UAUCAUCCAAUCAGAUUCAAGACCCACCUGCUCAGUGAACCAAUAGAAGAGCAGCUUUUGGGGGCGGAGCCUCUUUAAACUGCAGAAGAAGAUGGCUGCUGCAAGGAAAGAACUCAGAUGAGGUGAGUGUUGCAGCUCUGAAACCUGCGACAGGUUUUUAUUCUGCAGCCUGAAGCUCCAUUCGUCCUUUUUCUGUUUCUGUCCUCGACUGUCGCUUCUCAUGAAGUGGCUUCGCUGUGAAACUGAACUGCAGCAGAAAUCAGACUGAAGCUGUGUUGGUCUAAAAUAGACGCUCGCUGCAGAAGCAGACGUGUUUCCAGUGUGAGCGGACCACCCUGCUGCAGCUCCGUCGCAUUAUUUACUGCUGCAGACGUGUUGGUGGACAUACAAACACACAUGUAGCCCCCCUCCACCUCCAUAAGUGGAAGCACCUCCUCCUCCUCUCUGCCCUCGCUGAGCUUCCAGUUCCUCCUGAACUCAACAAC